AUUGAACGCUGGCGGAAUGCUUUACACAUGCAAGUCGAGCGGCAGCGCGGGGGCAACCCUGGCGGCGAGCGGCGAACGGGUGAGUAACACGUGGGUGACCUGCCCUCAGCUCUGGGAUAAGCCUGGGAAACCGGGGUCUAAUACCGGAUAUGACUCCAUGACGCAUGUUGUGGGGUGGAAAGCCUUGUGCGGCUGAGGAUGGGCCCGCGGCCUAUCAGCUUGUGGUGGGGUGGAUGGCCUACCAAGGCGACGACGGGUAGCCGGCCUGAGAGGGCGGACCGGCCACACUGGGACUGAGACACGGCCCAGACUCCUACGGGAGGCAGCAGUGGGGAAUCUUGCGCAAUGGGCGAAAGCCUGACGCAGCGACGCCGCGUGAGGGA
rnacentral:rRNA from 1 species